rnacentral:lncRNA from 1 species
GUGGGGGGAGUGUUUUUCCUAAGAUGUGCUGGUUACAGCUGGUGUCGGCACACACUCAUUUUCAUACUGAGUGGCCAGGCAAGGGCACCAGAGGAGGACCACGUGCAUCCUCCUCCAGUGCCGGUGCUGGGCGCAGUGCUACUGGAUUUCAUGCACUGGUCGCAAAGGAGGGCUGCUCGCAGCAGGUUGACAGGAUGAAAUGUGGAAACAUGCUGAGAUUUGUAAAGGUUACGAAGGAGAGAAUAUGGCCUUAGGAAAGAUGCUUGCAGCAACAAAAAUACAUCCAACACAAUGAAUCUGAAUCUCUUUAACACUAAGGCCAGCGUGAUGAACUCUGUUCCAUGUCAUGAUUACUGUAAGAGGUCAGGAAUUUUUAGGUGAUAAAAAUCUGUCCUAUAGUAGUUUGUCCAAAGACUGGGAUAGUAAUAAAUCCUCUUGUAGAACUUGGGCUUAGUUCUCC